GGCGGCCGUGAAGCGCCCCCGCCCCACCCCCGGCAUCAGCGUCCCGGAGCGGAGCGGCCUCCCGGCGCCUCCCGCGCUACCCGAGCCGCAGGCCCGCACGAUGGCCGACCUCGCGCCGCAGGUUAACUACCUGGCGGGCUUCUGCUGCCCGCUCGGGGGCCUGGCGGCGGGCAAGCCCCGCGUGCUGUGCCUCGGGGCGGAGAUCUUCCUGUCCACCGGGAGCGAGCUGGUCUACGUCUACGACCAGGAGGCGGGGCUGCUGACCGCGGUGUACAGGUUUCCGGGUCAGGUGUGGCACCUGGAGCUUCUGGCCCUUCGCAGGGCGCUUUACGUCCUGUGCGCCCACAGGGGCAUCUACUGCAUGUCGUUGGACCAGGCGAGCAGGUCUGUGAGCCAGGAUGACGGGGACGAUGGGGACAGUGAGGACAGUCAGGACGGUGAGUCCCCUUCCCGUAUGAUCCCUGUGGAUCCAGACGCCUGUGUCCUCCAUGAUGCCACGCUGUGCACUUUCACCGUGCUCGACAAUUUGCUCAUCACCUUAGCACAGGGCCCCGCCCGGUGGAAGGUGCAGCUGUUCGAGUGUCCCUGUCCAGGAGAGGACCCCCUGCUCAAAGGCCAGAUCGGUGAGGUGGAGUUGUCCACCCCCCCAGCUGGGAGUCCGAGAGAGCCUGCAGCCCCCUACUUCCUCCCAGUGCUGUGCUGCAUGUCACCGCCAGGCUCCAGAGUCGCACACAGCCACCUGCACGGCUCCAGGGGCUUCACGCUGGAGGAGACCCUCUUUGGGCUACUCUUUGGAACUGAUGCCUCCCUCCUGGAGUCACCCGUGAUCCUCUGUGGUCUCCCCGAUGGCCAGCUUUGCUGUGUGGUCCUGCAGACCCUGGUCACCUCUGGGUUGGCCCCUGGUGACUCGAAGGCUCUUGUCAAGAUCCUCCAUCACCUGGAGGAGCCCGUCGUCUUCAUUGGGGCCUUGAGGACAGAGCCACUGGCUGAGGACGUGGAAGACUCACACUCCGACUGCCUGGUGGCACUUGGUCAUCAUGGCCGGACACUGGCUGUCAAGGCCAGCUGGGAUGAGGCUGGGAAUCUGGUGCCAGAGCUGCGGGAGUACUGCCUCCCGGGGCCUGUGCUCUGUGCAGCCUGCGGCGGGGGCGGCCGCAUGUACCACAGCACCCCCUCGGACCUCUGUGUGGUAGACCUGGCUCGGGGAGGCACUCCCUGGGACCCCAUGCAGCCGGACACGGGCCCAGGAGGCUUGCCCUCUCUGCUGUGUCCAGCGAGCUUGAGUGUCUGCAGCGUCGUCACCCUGUCUGUGUCGUCUAGGGCACCUGAAGGUGGCACUGAGCUCUUGGCCCUGUCUGCCAAAGGCCGCCUGAUGACCUGCAGGCUGGACCUGAACUCUGAGACGCCUUCCCCUACCAGAGUGACCGCAGCAAACACUGGCCGAAAAAUCAAGGAAUUGCUCUCUGGAAUUGGCACCGUCUCUGAGAGAGUGUCUUUUCUGAAGAAGGCAGUUGACCAGCGGAACAAGGCUCUGAUGUGCCUCAAUGAAGCCAUGAACGUGAGCUGUGCCCUGCUGUCAAGCCGGGAGGGCCCCAGGCCCAUCUCCUGUACCACCACCACCACCUGGAGCCGCCUGCAGCUGCAGGACAUGCUUAUGGCCACCUGCCUGCUGGAGAACAGCAGCGACUUCAGCCUGGACCGGGGCUGGGCCUUGUGCAUCCAGGUGCUCACCAGCUCCCGGGCCUUGGAGCUGGACUCGGCCAGCUCAGCGGUCACCUACACCAUCCCCGUGGACCGGCUCGGCCCUGGCAGUCGGCGGGAGGUGACGCUGCCCCUGGGCCCUGGCGAGGACGGCAUGCUCGAUCUGCCUGUGACCGUGUCCUGUGCACUCUUCUACAGCCUCCGGGAGGUCGUGGGCGGGGCCCUCACCCCCUCAGACUGUUCCAAGGACCCCUCCUUGGAUAUGUGCCCCCUUGAUGUCCUGCCUGAGCAGGAGGGCAUCUGCCUGCCCCUGAGUGAGCACACGGUGGACAUGUUGCAGUGUCUGCGCUUCCCCAGCCUGGCCACACCCCACAUGCAGGCCCCCAGCCUGCUCAGCCCAGUCAGUGACCCUGUGGACACCUUCCUGGGAGCUUGCCUUGGGCCAGGCAGCAAGCCGGCUGGACCUGCAUCUCUGCGGGCCGCCUACCUGCCUCCAUCAGUGGCCGCCAUCAAGGUGUCAGCGGAGCUGCUGAGGGCCACCGUGGGGGACAGUUACUCAGGCGUGUCCUUAUGCUGUGCCACCCUGCAGUGGCUCCUGGCCGAGAAUGCUGCUGUGGACAUCGUGAGGGCCCGAGCACUGUCCUCUGUGCAGGGAGUGGCCCCAGAUGGCACCGACGUCCACCUCAUCAUCCGCGAGGUGGCGGUGACCGACCUGUGUCCGGCAGGGCCUCUCCAGGCCGUGGAGAUCCAGGUGGAGAGCUCCUCUCUGGCCAACAUGUGCCAGGCUCACCACGCUAUCAUCGGGCGUAUGCAGCGGAUGGUCGUCGAGCAGGCCGCCCGGGGCUCCAGCCCACCUGACCUCCGUAUGCAGUAUCUCCACCAGAUCCAGGCCAACCACGAGAUGCUGCUGCGGGAGGUGCAGACCCUGCGUGACCGGCUGUGCACGGAGGACGAAGGCCACUCCUGCGCCACCGCCGAGAAGCUCCUGCAGCUGUACAGGCAGCUUCGCAGCCCCAGCCUCCUCCUGUUGUGAUUCAGGUCGGCCCUGCCCCUUCCAGCCACUCACAGUGCCUUCGUGGUUUUACAGAGAAAAACCUGGAAUCUGCCCACAGCCUCCUCACACGACCUGGUGGUCACUGCUGGGCAGUCUCCCACCCGGAGUGCUGGGCUGGAUCAGCGACAUCCCCUCUGCUCAGAAGUCAGGCCCAGGACACAGACCCUGGACCCCAAAGCAGGAGCGUUGUUGCCUGAGCGGCCUGCAGAGGCCAUGGAGGAACAGGGUUUCUGGAGUUAGGACUUGGGGCGGGUUUGUAUCCAUUCCCACCCCUCUGCCCCGAGCGCGGGGCUGCCCCUUCUAGCGACACGCCCCUCCCCCCCGAACCUCCCAUCCAGCUCAGGGCACCUUGCCCUGCCACUCUGCAGCAGCUGGGGCCACCAGGUGUGAGGGCGCCUCCUGUGACUGAAGCACAAAAAUGGCCGGGGGGCGGGUGGGGGGAGCUCACGGAAGUGCCCAGUGGCCUCCGGUGGCCUGUGGCCAGAACACUCAACAACUAGGUGCCUCCAGCUAUGGCUGCACCCAGCACCAAGCACUGCAUUGUUGCCAGGGCCCCUCAGGGUGGGCGCAGCCCCACAGCCCUCCCUCAGCCUGGGCAGCAGCCUGGCUCAGCUCUGGUGCUGGCGUUCUCGGCAUCUGGGGAGGUGACAGUGCUCUCCUGUGGUGCGUGCGGGAUCCCCCUGUGAGGCCCCCCACCCACAUUGACCCUUUGUGCUGAA